UCAGACCUCAUUUCCUGUCCAAGAGUCUCGAGCUGUCUGCGCGAGUGACUACUGCACGAGAGACCACAGCGAAAACACUGAGAAGCGCAGGAACAACUCCGCAUUACUGGACAUUAAACGAGAAAAACUCCCUACUUGUUUUUAUUUUAUUAUUCAUUUAAUGUACUGAAAAACAACUCGACCGACUCAUGCGGUCCGUUUUCUGUCAGGUUUUGGGGGCUCUGAUAAACGAAGACGAAGACAACCGCAUUUAUUCAACGCUGGAGAAAAAAAGUAUCAGGAUACACGAAUAAAUGAGAAACAACGAGUGUCAACAACAACGUCAAUAAAACAGACAAUUCUUGAAGAUACAUGAAGAGGAAGAAACUUUUUCCCGCUGAACGGGACAGUUAUAAGUUAGAGUUUACUUUGCGCAAGGAUUAAAUCAUGCAUUUCUGAGGUGACACUGGUACCGAGUGACUGUGACAGGGUCAUUUCUAGUUACCUCCCUGGCACCUGGCUGCAGGACAGAUGUCUGAGGAGGAACACAGCCACAGUGCCAAUCCACCCAAACCUCCAGAUGGAGCCCAACUGGAUAAUCGUCCACUGGAAGCCCUUACCGCCCCAUGCCCAGGCGUAUUUACUGUGGGAGAGGGCAAGUCCUGGCUCAGUCAUACGUUUGCACAACAGCUCUGCAAAAACCAGCGAGCGUGUUGAUUCCUGUGUGACUGCCACAGCCAAUGCACCAUGGGUGCCAAUUUUCCCGGACACGUCGUGGCCAGGAUUUCGGGUGCGUCAUCCGGAGGUGGCAUUUGUACACCGCACCGUCAACGAGGUUUAUUAUUUCAGGUUUUAUUUCAGAAAAGCAACCAUUAUAUUUCAAGGUAAGAAUGAAACUACAAUGAUUAUAUGUCUUAAGAGAAAUAAAUGUUAAUUUUAUAAUGUUUUUUUAACUACGUAUGCGGUGGACAAACGUGACCUCCGGAUGACGCACGCGAAAUCCUGGCCAGGACAUGUCCGGGAAAAAUGGCACGUAUGGUCACCCUAAAUUUAUGUGUCACAACAAUUCCUGUCUUGACUCCUGUCAAAAUGUCUUCGGCAUACUUUUUGUUUAUUUUUGUUGGACAAUCCAAUGACAAACCCAUAGAGAAAUUAAUUCGGCCACUCGAACCCAGCAGUUUCUUUGGUGCAUCUUCAUGAAAAUAUUAAUACAUAAUCGAGUAAAUUCUGUCAUACCAAUUAAACACUUUGAUGUAAACUUCAUGGCUAAGUGGGAGAAGUACCGAUGGCCCCUUAUGGCAUUUGUUCAGACAAACUUGAGCUUUUCGUUUCUAAUGGCUUGAUAUUCUCACCACAUAAUUAGCUACAAAUGUUCAGCUGGCCUUUCAAGAUGUUUAUUUUGGCUUCCCCUGUCAGAUAUGGCUUGUCUGUCUCCUUUGUAUGGGAAAGAUUGAAGAGGCUCCAUUAUGGUCGAGCGUUAUGGGGUCUGUCCUUGAUGUUUGACCUGAUGGUUUUAUGUUGCUAUUGAGUUUCUUGUGGGGAAAUUACUGCAGCUUUCACUCGAGAGAUUGUGGCAUUAAAAUGAAGUAUCAGUGGUUGUUUAAAAACAUUAAAGUAACUGUUCUCAAGAUUUCUAAGUUUUUAAUAUUUUGAAUAAGAGGGUUCAAAGAAGUAAGUGAGAGACAGAGAGAGAGAGAGAGAGAGAGAGAGAGAAAGAGGGCACACACAAAAAUCAAUGCUGACCUAUGAGGCAGCUGUUGGCCACUCACCAGUGUGUUUGAAACUUCCUGAUGCUUCUUUGGAGCCAGCAGAGGUGCGUGACUGUGCAAAAGCAAUGUGUUUAGGUUAAAGAGAACCAGGAGCUAUAAUGCGUCAUGUGUGAACAUGCCAAACCCCUAAACGGAGAGACAGACCCCCCACCCUCUUCACAAGGGUUAUAUCUUAACACACAAAUUUUAAAAUACAAUAUUUAUUGCUGUUAAAUCUUCCCCAAAGCCUGUUAAAUACCAGACAUUUUCUAUUUUAAUGAGCUUAAUGUGUUUCCCCCUCCUCUGUUGUACUCGCUAAAUAAUCUGUGAAUUUGGAUAAAUUCCAAAACAGUUCUUUGAAGCUUUUCCUCCUUAGCGUGUUUUUACUUUUGGCCAGUUUACAAGCCCAGAUUAGACUCUAUUGUUUCAGCACCGAGCUUAGUGAAGACGUUACCAUAGUUAUCAGCACGUCUCUUCAGAGGAUAAGCCAUUUGCUUAAUUAUUUUCUCUUGGCUGCCCUAAUUACAUCCCUUAGGGGUCAUCGCUAAAAAAAUGUGUCAAAGUCAUGAUGGGCUCACAAAAGUGUAACGCAAGUGGGUGAAUGGGGGUUUUAAAUGAGGCGCUUUGCUUUAAUCCAUCAUAGAUGCCACCUGUUUUUUAUAGGCCUCCUUGUAGUUAUACACAUGCAUUGUAGUCCUACUCAUGAGUGUAUGAAUGAAUACAAAUAAAUAUGCAGCAGUCACAGAAAAUCUGUAUUUUGUCUGUAACUUGGAUGAUUAUAUGGCAGAAGAUAACUGACUCAAAGACCCAGUGAACCAUAUGGAUGGAAUAUGACAUGCAUGGUACACUGUUCCGGGUAGCUGAACUGCAAAAGGAGAGAAAGAAUGCAGAGCAAGACAAAUACAAAUCUAUGGAUCUCGCUGGCUCACAUCCAGUGCAUUUCUGACUUGCUCACGCAAAUACAUUUUAACCUUAGCUCAUUAAUGUUGAUGCUUGAAAAUACUCAUAAAAGCAAAACUUUUGCCCAGGGCUGCUCAGACACUCCCAGCCAGCAUGUAUUGUUUUACAUUUCAUGUUGAAUAAUGGAUUUGAGAGAUUAUGAGACAUGAUACAACACAUUUGGAAUCUUGUCCUUGUCGAGAGUUGUAUUUGCUUUCUAUCUUUGCAUUUCAACAUAAAGACAGAUGUUAAAAACCGUCUUUGCUCAUCAAGUGAUCUCAAAUCGCACCCGCUGCACCAUGAAUGUGAGAAAUGCAGUCUGCAUUGUCAUUUGAUUCUGUAUCCUUUCAAUACCAGCAUAUUGAGAUGCCUGCAGAGCUACAGCGGACCCUGUCUGCCAAACCAAAACCCGAUAAUAAUAUUACCAUACAGCGGCGUAAAAUCAACCUUAUUUUUAUGCCUCAAGUUAGUUUUUCUUUUACCAUGCCCCCCUGUUUUUUCCUAUUCUCUCACUGUGUUAUCACUCCCAGUGGAUUUUUAAAGACGGAUGCUUUUAAUUAGUCAGGGUAAUGACAAGUAAUUAACUCCCUACACAAGUGGCCGGUGCACUGCCUCUCUGAGAUGGCUGAUCUUUAACAGUUUUCUUUGUCACUUACUCCAAUAGAUUUUUCUCUGUGGAUCACAUUUAAUAGUAAAGACUCUUUACUAUUAAACUAUUUUACACUUCCACUCAGAAAAUUAUCUCUAGAUUGAAAGGGGUGUUAUUUCACUGAACGUUUUUUAUCUCUUGUAGUCCAUUAAAAGCUAAAUUCACAGUUAUGGUUGUAAAAUAAUAUAAGGGGAGGUUUUGUUGUUUUAAGUGAGAAGUUCUGUAUCUCUGAGUUGGAGAAAGUUCUAAUUCAGGCAUGUCUCUCUCGCCUUCUUUUAGCUAUUCCACUGAGACAGAGGGGGAGCAAAAUAUCUCCAAGUCUCUCGUCAGUGUCUUUCUCUUUUUCUCUUUUGUCUCUUACUCUGGAUAGGAACUUCUAAAAGAGCAUUAGUUGGGGUUGUUGAAGACAGAGCAACAAUAAAGAAAGGCAGGGGCUUGAGGGUUGAAAGAAUUUCAAAGUGUCCCUGUAAAGCCACAAGGCUGCUCAGCGUCUAAUACCAGGCCUCAUACCUGACUGCUCGAAGAUUAUAGAAAGUCUCACUGUGCUCUACCAGACCUCAAGAGUAAAUAAGGCAACACCAUAGAAAGGAGAGAAAGAGAAUAAGAGAAAGAUGAGGUGAUCCAACGGGGAGGGUGACUCAGAAUCAGCAGAGUAUGAGGAUCUUGGCCAAGUAACAGGCAGAUGUUACACACACGCUCUGAAAAACACUUUUUUGGUUGUUAAAAUACUUUAUCCUAACCCAGUUUAAAAUAGGUAAGUAGGUUGAUUUCGUUGAAAAGUAUUUUUUUUCUUUUUUGGAGAAGCCUGACUAGCCUGGCUGGUUGACUCAACCAAUUGUGUGAGUCUGGGCAGGGCUAUCUGUUUGUUUGACUUAUGUCGGAUGAGAGGACUGUUUGAGAAACUUGAAAAAAGCCAUUCUUCGCAAUUUCAUUUAAUUAUAGCUGUGACACAGAAAUUACACACUUCACCACGCCUUUGUGACAGAGUAAUAUAGAAUAUUCCUGUAAACCUUCACUGGAUUCCAGUCAACUGGAAAUAUACUUACAAUGUUGCUAACAAUCUAUACUGUACCACAGGACAUUUUUGUUGUCGUGGGAAAGUACUAUAAAAUGUAGGUGGGCUCUUUCCCCCCAGUUACACGUAACAUAAUGCCUUUAAUGCCAUAAACUCUUAAUGGCUGUUGCCCGCAUACUAUAUUUUUAUUUCUGUUCUUGUGUUUUUUUACUGGAAAAUGUCCUGUUUACAAGUCAAGUAAAAUUACCACACAUUUUCUGCCUCUGGGAUCCACACAUAUACUGUUUACAGAAGUAGCAUAUAGAAACAUAAUCCUACAGUAUUUACACCCCAUCAUUUUCCUUCCAGAUUUUUGUUUUAAUGCACUUGGCCUGUUUUAAAACAAAACAAAAUAGAUUUAAUUGUGAAAGGCUUUGCAAACGUGCCGUAAUUGCGGAGAUCAUUAAGUGCAUGUUCUUAAAAUUCCUCAUUGCUUCAGCCAAAUAAUAUAGAAGGCUGUGCUGAAACUGUGAUAUCUGUGCAGUAAAUCUCCCUGUACGGGUGUAUGGCUUGAUUACGAUGAGGAAUUAAAGCUCUGUCUUUGAUAACCGCUGGGUUCCAGUUGCUAAUGCUCGGUGAUCCACAGCAAUGGGAGAACAGAUGGAGCUGACGCAUGCUUCAAUGCCACAGCGGUAAAGACAGACCUCUGUUCUGAGCAUUACAGAGACAGGCUUCAGCGGUCUCCGUUUUAAAACUAAAAUGUUUCAUGAACGUGAUCCCUGUCGGUCCACAGUCCCACUGCCCUGCUAACACACUCACCCACAAAAGCUCACAAACUCUCUAAACCCUCCGGGUUGCACUCUCUUCUCUAUUUUCGUUGUGUUUCUUGGCUGUUAAAAACCAAUGUGCACUUUUGAAACAGCUUUUGGAAAACUUGAUUCUUGUCAGUCACAGUCAAAUAUUUUUGUAUAUUGACCAUUAAAAAAAUCAGUGCAAGUUUCAUGUCUCGUUUC